GUCCCUGUAUCACAAUGGGUAGCGCGCGCGUUGGACUUCUAAUCCAAAGGUCGUAGGUUCGAAUCCCACCUGGGAUG